rnacentral:rRNA from 1 species
GACGCACGCUGGCGGCGUGCCUAAUACAUGCAAGUAGGCCGCAGUUGCGAACGGGUGAGUAACGCGUAGGUAACUCACUAUUAGAGGGGGAUAACUAUUGGAAACGAUAGCUCAUACCGCCUACUCGUAGAUGGACCUGCGGUGUAUUAGCUAGUAGGUAGGGUAAUGGCCUACCUAGGCAACGAUACAUAGCCGAACUGAGAGGGGGAUCGGCCAAACUGGGACCGGGAAACGGCCCAGACGUCUAAGGGAUGAAGCAGUAGGGAAUUGUCGGCAAUGGGGGGAAACCUUACCUGGCAACGCCGCGGUAGUUAAGAAGGUUUUCGGAUCGUAAAGCUCGGUUUUUAAGGAAGCGGUACUUAACCAGAAAGGGACGGCUAACUACGUGCCAGCAGCCGCGGUAAUAC